AUGACCGGCGGCACAGCCGGUGUUGGCGGCAGUGGUCGAUCCCCUGGUUGUCGUAGCUUCUGGAAGGCCGGCACUAACGAGGCCCCCUCCGUCCCCAUCCACGAGUUCCACGGUUCGUCUCUUCGAUCCCCAUCCUCCCUGACAGGGGACUUCGACCGCGCCUGCGUGCAUCCCAGGUUCCUCCGCAUCAACCUGACCUCCCACAAGUUGGCGUUCAGAGUUUGUCAGAACAAAGGGUACCAGCUAUAUCUGAACUUCUUGAUAAUGGAGUAG
rnacentral:rRNA from 1 species